UGGACGGGCUAGGAUAUACAGUGAACAUGGUUGUUAGGAACUGGUCAGAAGAUGCUAGCUUACAGGUGUUACGUACGUGAUUAACCUACCGUAAAGAAUAAGAUCCCAUUCUGCAUUCAUCGCUGGAAAAAACUUUUCAAACGAAAGGGAUAAACUGGGUUUAUGGAUACCGAAAGAGAAUAGAAGAUAUUGUUACUUAAGAUGGUUACAUUCUAUAGUCAAGGUGUAUUAUUGCUUAGCUAAGUUGGAUGGUAAAGAAAUGCGAACAAUGGCCGGGAAUACCUACCCUACCGAAGGAAGGUGACAUAUACAAUAGGGCCUGUUUUAAUUUCAGUAUUUAUUCAAUAAAAUAGAAAAAUGAUAUCCCCUGGGUGUUUUUAACCAUAUGCUUAUAAAAGCCAUGGAAGAGGGCUGCAUUAUGUGAAGAACGUUUCACACGCACAAAAAGAUGUGAGUGAAAAAAGACAGGGUUUGAAUGAUGGCGUCUGUGUAUAUGGCCAUUGUGGAAAGGGAAGUUGGAUGACAGACUGGAGCACACAAUUAUGUAUUGUACACAAGUUUUGUGAGUGUAUGUUGACGAUGUUAAGUGUUCAGAACCUCGCCUAAACAGCAAACGUACAGGUGAAACAGGAUUAGUAGUCCAGACUUUGAUGGAGAGAAAUAGCCGUGGAUUAGAAAAAAGCUGUGGAUUAGAAAAAAGAUGUGGAUAAUAUCAAACCUAGAUAAAUGUCUGUUUCUUACAAAAGAUGUGGAUUAGAAAAAGUUGUGGAUUGUAACAAACCUAGAUAAAUGUCUGUUUCCUACAGAAGAUGUGGAUAUCUGUAUUUAAGAACAUUGGCGGUGAUGACAAGGAAAUGAUGUACCUACCUUGGCGAUGAUAUUCAUAUCACAUUUAUUUUCUUAGCCAGCUGGAUUACUGAAACGGACGUUUGAAGGAGAUAGAUGUCAUGGAGUUCAUUAUGGUCCAUCAGUUUCUCAAAAACGAAGAAGAUGACAAUGCUACCAACCAUCCGAGUCAAAACUUUCCCAGCCUGAUUAAUCAUAUUGUGUUAAAAUCCCAUCGUAUUUGGGAUACAGGAGACACACUCAAGAAGGCAUGACAUAUUUGAUAAGUAUACCAUCGGUGAACGUCUUGUUUUUAAUUAUAUCUAUUGUAUGAGGAAUAAUCAGUAAUUUCCAGAUGGAUUUAUUUUCAAAGACAAGAAGAUUGUGAAACAAAAUGAAGUUAUCGAUUCUCACGUAAUGGAUAAAUGCUAUGUUCGAUCAGCUGAACGAUGUGGAAUACUUACUGCAAACCAAUAUAUGUGGUGUGAUUUAUCAUGUGAGAUGUGGAAUGCUAAGUAUAUGAUGCAUUAUCUGGAAUACUUACAACAAAUGAUGUAUAUGAUGUGGAAUAUGGAAUAUUUGCUACAAACCAUUAUAUAUGGUGUGUAAUGUGGAAUACUUACUGCAAAACAUUAUAUAUGAUGUGGAAUAUGGAAUAUUUGCUACAAACCAUUAUAUAUGGUGUGUAAUGUGGAAUACUCACUACAAACCAUUAUAUAUGGUGUGUAAUGUUGAUUACUUACUGCAAAACAAUAUAUAUGAUGUGGAAUAUGGAAUACUUAUUACAAACCAUUAUAUAUGGUGUGGAAUAUGGAAUACUUACUACAAACCAUUAUAUAUGGUGUGUAAUGUGGAAUACUUACUACAAAACAUAAUAUAUUGUGUGGAAUGUGGAAUAUUUGCUACAAACCAUUAUAUAUGGUGUGUAAUAUGGAAUACUUACUACAAAUGAUUAUAUAUGGUGUGUAAUGUGGAAUACUUACUACAAACCAUUAUAUAUGAUGUGUAAUGUGGAAUACUUACUACAAAACAUAAUAUAUUGUGUGGAAUGUGGAAUACGUACUACAAAUGAUUAUAUAUGGUAUUUUAUACGAGGAUCAGUGUGCAGAUGUGUGUUAUUAUUCAUUGGGAUUUACGUCGUGUACAAGGAGAGACUGGGCUGAAUCUGAAAGGCCAUUACGAUCUCGUUUGCGAUUCUGACGUCAUCAGUCUUUGAG